AAAGAGUCACACAGAUGACUGGGCUCCUGGGCCUUUCUCCAGUAAGCCACAGAGGAGUCAGCUGCAAACAUUCUCUUCUGUUCUACAGACCUCUCUCCUCUUCCUGCUCAUGGGGUAAAAGAAAGAAGGCUAGCUCAAGGAGUCUAGCUGCUCCUCCAAGUCCCUCUUCUAUCUCUGCAGGACUAAGAGCCUCUGGAAAGGACUCGGCCCCAACAGUGGUGUCAGGGAUCCUAGGGGGUUCUGUGACUUUCCCCCUAAAUAUCUCAGUAGACACAGAGAUUGAGCACGUCAUCUGGAUUGGUCCCAAAAAUGCUCUUGCUUUCGCACGUCCCAAAGAAAAUGUAACCGUUAUGGUCAAAAGCUACCUGGGCCGACUAGACAUCACUAAGUGGAAUUACUCCCUGUGCAUCAGAAAUCUGACUCUGAAUGAUGCAGGAUCCUACAAAGCCCAGAUAAACCAAAGGAAUUUUGAAGUCACCACUGAGGAGGAAUUCACCCUGUUCGUCUAUGAGCAGCUGCAGGAGCCCCAAGUCACCAUGAAGUCUGUGAAGGUGUCUGAGAACUUCUCCUGUAACAUCACUCUAAUGUGCUCCGUGAAGGGGGCAGAGAAAAGUGUUCUGUACAGCUGGACCCCAAGGGACCCCCAUGCUUCUGAGUCCAAUGGAGCUUCCAUUCUUACCAUCUCCCGAAAGCCCUGUGACCCAG
rnacentral:sRNA from 1 species